rnacentral:misc_RNA from 1 species
GAUGAAGAACGUAGCAAAAUGCGAUAAGUAAUGUGAAUUGCAGAAUUCAGUGAAUCAUCGAAUCUUUGAACGCACAUUGCGCCCGCCAGUAUUCUGGCGGGCAUGCCUGUUCGAGCGUCAUUUCAACCCUCAAGCACAGCUUGGUGUUGGGACUCGCGUUAAUUCGCGUUCCCCAAAUUGAUUGGCGGUCACGUCGAGCUUCCAUAGCGUAGUAGUAAAACCCUCGUUACUGGUAAUCGUCGCGGCCAAGCCGUUAAACCCCAACUUCUGAAUGUUGACCUCGGAUCAGGUAGGAAUACCCGCUGAACUUAAGCAUAUCAAUAAGCGGAGGA